CAGUCGCCGCGGUAAUACAGAGGGUGCAAGCGUUGAUCGGAAUUACUGGGCGUAAAGCGCGCGUAGGUGGUUCGCCAAGUUGGAUGUGAAAUCCCCGGGCUCAACCUGGGAACUGCAUCCAAAACUGGCGAGCUAGAGUAUGGUAGAGGGUGGUGGAAUUUCCUGUGUAGCGGUGAAAUGCGUAGAUAUAGGAAGGAACAUCAGUGGCGAAGGCGACCACCUGGACUGAUACUGACACUGAGGUGCGAAAGCGUGGGGAGCAAACAGGAUUAGAUACCCGCGUAGUCCCUGUCUCUUAUAA
rnacentral:rRNA from 1 species